AGAGAGAGAAGAGAGAAGAAG
rnacentral:sRNA from 1 species